rnacentral:rRNA from 1 species
UGCCUUAGUAGCGGCGAGUGAGCGGCAAAGCUCAAAUUUGAAAUCUGGCGCCUUCGGUGUCCGAGUUGUAAUUUGAAGAUUGUAACCUUGGGGUUGGCUCUUGUCUAUGUUUCUUGGAACAGGACGUCACAGAGGGUGAGAAUCCCGUGCGAUGAGAUGCCCAAUUCUAUGUAAGGUGCUUUCGAAGAGUCGAGUUGUUUGGGAAUGCAGCUCUAAGUGGGUGGUAAAUUCCAUCUAAAGCUAAAUAUUGGCGAGAGACCGAUAGCGAACAAGUACAGUGAUGGAAAGAUGAAAAGAACUUUGAAAAGAGAGUGAAAAAGUACGUGAAAUUGUUGAAAGGGAAGGGUUUGAGAUCAGACUCGAUAUUUUGUGAGCCUUGCCUUCGUGGCGGGGUGACCCGCAGCUUAUCGGGCCAGCAUCGGUUUGGGCGGUAGGAUAAUGGCGUAGGAAUGUGACUUUACUUCGGUGAAGUGUUAUAGCCUGCGUUGAUGCUGCCUGCCUAGACCGAGGACUGCGAUUUUAUCAAGGAUGCUGGCAUAAUGAUCCCAAACCGCCCGUCUUGAACCAACGGACCA